CGGCUGUUGGGAGGCCAUCAUCCAUGCUCAGAAGAAGAUUUUCCAAUGCGUAUGACCUUAGAGAAGAGCACCCACACUCCUAUUUCAUUUCUGCCAGUGACGCGGCCGUUUAUAACCCCACGACUGGGAGAUGCUCGUCCCAACACACAUUCUCUGUGUUUAGAGAGGUAAGUGAUCACAGAGAUGGUCUAUUUUUCUAUCUCCGCGGGGACGCGGAUACGGUAAACUUGUUUGCCAAACUAAUAAAUAUCAGAACAAUUGGGAUUUUCAAACGCCAUAAAGCAUUUUAAAAAGGGACUUUGUCUCGGGGACACUCUCUCAAAUAAAGUUGUAUUUUAUGUAAAUCGA